rnacentral:rRNA from 1 species
AUUGAACGCUGGCGGCAUGCCUUACACAUGCAAGUCGAACGGCGAGCACGGGGGCAACCCUGGUGGCGAGUGGCGAACGGGUGAGUAGUACAUCGGAACGUGCCCCGUAGCGGGGGACAACCAGUCGAAAGACUGGCUAAUACCGCAUACGCUCCACGGAGGAAAGCAGGGGAUCGCAAGACCUUGCACUAUGGGAGCGGCCGAUGCCCGAUUAGCUAGGUUGGGUNAGGUAAAGGCUCACCAAGGCAACGAUCGGUAGCUGGUCUGAGAGGACGACCAGCCACACUGGGACUGAGACACGGGCCCAGACUCCUACGGGAGGCAGCAGU